rnacentral:rRNA from 1 species
UACGUAGGGGGCUAGCGUUGUCCGGAAUCAUUGGGCGUAAAGAGCGUGUAGGCGGUCCGGUAAGUCCGCUGUGAAAGUCGGGGGCUCAACCCUCGAAUGCCGGUGGAUACUGUCGGGCUAGAGUGCGGAAGAGGGAAGCGGAAUUUCCGGUGUAGCGGUGAAAUGCGUAGAUAUCGGAAGGAACAUCAGUGGCGAAAGCGGCU